GGGUGUGAUCAUACUAGCGUUAAUGCACCGGAUCCCAUCAGAACUCCGCAUUUAAGCGCGCUUUGGCUAGAGUAGUACUAGGAUGGGUGACCUCCCAGGAAGUCCUAGUGUUGCACCCU
rfam:Picea glauca, whole genome shotgun sequence.